rnacentral:rRNA from 1 species
GACGAACCGUGCGAACGUUGUUCGGAUUCAUUGGGCGUAAAGGGUGCGUAGGCGGCGCGGUAAGUCGGGUGUGAAAUCUCGGAGCUUAACUCCGAAACUGCAUUCGAUACUGCCGUGCUUGAGGACUGGAGAGGAGACUGGAAUUUACGGUGUAGCGGUGAAAUGCGUAGAUAUCGUAAGGAAGACCAGUGGCGAAGGCGGGUCUCUGGACAGUUCCUGACGCUGAGGCACGAAGGUCAGGGGGAGCAAACGGGG